rnacentral:rRNA from 1 species
AGUGAACGCUGGCGGUAGGCCUAACACAUGCAAGUCGAACGGCAGCACAGUAAGAGCUUGCUCUUACGGGUGGCGAGUGGCGGACGGGUGAGGAAUACAUCGGAAUCUACUUUUUCGUGGGGGAUAACGUAGGGAAACUUACGCUAAUACCGCAUACGACCUACGGGUGAAAGCAGGGGAUCUUCGGACCUUUCGCGAUUGAAUGAGCCGAUGUCGGAUUAGCUAGUUGGCGGGGUAAAGGCCCACCAAGGCGACGAUCCGUAGCUGGUCUGAGAGGAUGAUCAGCCACACUGGAACUGAGACACGGUCCAGACUCCUACGGGAGGCAGCAGUGGGGAAUAUUGGACAAGGGGCGCAAGCCUGAUCCAGCCAUACCGCGUGGGUGAAGAAGGCCUUCGGGUUGUAAAGCCCUUUUGUUGGGAAAGAAAAGCAGCAGGUUAAUACCCCGCUGUUCUGACGGUACCCAAAGAAUAAGCACCGGCUAACUUCGUG